rnacentral:lncRNA from 1 species
GUGUUUGUACUGGCGUUAUGAGACAGUAUACUGCAGAACUCGAGUUCUAUUGCAGAGGGCUCCCUUUAGUUUCAGCUUUUUAUGCUUGCUCAGAAGCUAUUUGUGGGAUUAACUUAGAGCCUCUAUGCAAACCCUGUGAUGUCUCCUACACAUUUCUCCCUAACAUGGCUUACUUUGAAUUCAUUCCUGUGGAAAAUGAACAUGAUGAAUCUAUUGAAAUGAAGAGGAACGAUGAAGAUACUGAACUUGUUGAUCUUGUAAAUGUGAAGGCUGGCCAAUGUUAUGAACUAGUUGUUACAACUUGUGCAGGUAAGAGUUCCUCUUUUGAAUAUAAUCAAUUAAUCAAAUGCCAUGUUCUGAUUUUGAAUUAUGCUUCCUAGUUCCUGCAGUAACCUGUUAGAUAAUGAUCUAAUCUAGUUUGAUGGUAUUCCUUUCAGGAUUAUAUCGAUAUAAAGUUGGAGAUGUACUUAUGGUGAGUGGUUUCUACAAUAAUGCACCUCAAUUCCAAUUUGUGGAGAGGAAAAAUGUUAUCCUCAGUGUUGAUCAGGAAAAAACAAGCGAAACAGACCUUUCCAAGGCUGUGACAGAAGCAAAGGCUCUUCUCGAUCCACUUGGAUUCAUCUUGACCGAGUACACUAGCUAUGUUGAUACUUCUUCAGCACCAGGUCACUAUGUCUUAUUUUGGGAGAUCAAGGGAAAAGAAGGCAAGCAUUGCAAAGAACUUGACCCAAAGAUAAUGGUAGAGUGUUGCUCUAAAAUGGAAGAGUUAUUGCAUUAUACAUAUAAAAUCUAUAGGAAAAGGAACAUAAUUGCAGCUGUGGAGAUUAGGGUGGUAAAGCAAGGAAGUUUUGAGGCACUAAUGGAUUACUAUGUGUCCAAAGGAACUUCAUUGAGCCAAUACAAAAAACCUAGUUGCAUUAAAUCUGAGGAAGCCUUGAAGAUAUUAGAUUCAAGAGUGAUAGGAAAGUAUUUCAGCCCCAAAUUACCGUUAUAAUUAGUUUGCAUCAGUUCUUGUUUAAGAUUACCUAAUCCUAGCUAAAACGUAUGUCGACAAGUCUAUUCCGACAUUUAAAAAAGUGUCAGCUUAAAAGUAUUAUCCUAAUAUUGUUUUAUUGUGGUGAGAUAUUGAAUAUAUAAAACAGUGAAAUCAUAAGCUCAUUUUUUAGAAUUCUAAAUUUCCAAUCAUUUUAAAGAAUAUCAAUAAUUAAUUUAAAUUUAUUUUAAUCAACUUAUUUUUUCUUAAUUUAUAUCUAUCAUAAUAUAUAUCAUCUUAAUAUUAAAAAUUAAAAAUUAAACAUUUAUAUUAUUUAUUUUACUUUCGCAAUCAUAAUACUGAAAAAUUAUAAAAUUUUUAACUAAUAAAUAUAAAAUUUUAAAUUUGAUAUAUACAAUCUAAUCCGUGCAUCGCAUGGGAUAAAAAACUAGUUUCAUUCUAAAAUCGAGUCUCUUAAAGCAUUUUUAAACUCAAACCACUAAUCUAAAACUUAAUAUUUCCAUAUAAGCUUUCAAUUUUUUUUCUUUUUGUAUUGGUACUAGCUUUUUUACCUCAUUUUUCAUAAAAUUUUAUAAAAAAAUAUUUAAUAACAUAAAUGUUUCAUUCAUUAAUUUGGAUAUAUUAUAUUAAAAUUAUUUAAAAUUUAAAUAUAAAUUUAUAUGUUCAUAAAAGUGGAAAAAAAUUCAAAAGUAAUAUUGCACCAUGAAAUAGAUAAAGAGUUUAUACUUUAAAUAAACAAUUGUGAUGUUAUAUUCAUUUCAUUGAUUAAUAAAUUUGCUUGAUUUAAUUAAAGUAAAUAAAAAAAUUAAAAGUGAAAAUAUAUUAAAUAUGUAUUAAUUAAAUUUUUUGUUCGCCUGAACUAAAUUUCAAUUAAAUAAUUUUUAAAAUAUUUUUAUUUAAAUUUAAUUAUAAUAAUAUAAAUUUAUAUAUUUUAUUAUUUUAAUAUUUUAAAUUAUUAAAAAUGAAAUAAAUGUACAAGAAAAUUCUAUUUUUCCUAAAGAUUGCACUCUUAUUUUAUUCUUAAUUAAAAUGAGGAGAAAUAAUAUACUUGUUUUAUUUUAAAAAAUGUAAGUUAAAAUAAUAUUUAUUUUAUUGUAUUCAUAAAUUAUUAAAAUUUAAUUCUAAAAAUAGAACUCAAUUCUCUCCACUACAGAAUAUUUUUUUAAUUAUAUUUAAAGUGGAUCCUAGUGUUUUUAAUUAAAUUUAUUAUAUCCCUCUAGCUUUGUACACGAGUCAGCAUAACAAAUCACUUGAGAAGGCAGUUCUCUAUUUUCUAUUACCUGAGUAGUCAUCGAAUGACUCACAUCUCGAAAGGCAUGCCUCUAUUCAACUCUUCAAUCUUUUCGUAAGAAUUAUGGUCUCUUGAGAAUAAGUUGUUUAUUGUUGUGAACGAAUUACACGUUCCCUUCAAAAAAACCUUGUCUAUUCGUCUUUGUAAAUAGGCCACCCUAUAUAUGAAUGAAUAAAAAUAUUCUCUUAUAAUUAUAAUUAUAUUUAUUUAAAUAUUAAUAAAGUAUGUUUCACAUACAUUAUUUAAAUAAGGGUUGUCUGAAUUAUUUUAAUCAAAAGUUAAAGGGCACCUUAGUCAAUAUAUAUUAAAAAUAUUAUCUUAAAAGUAGUCAUGAUUGAAUCUUAAACAAAGUAAGAUAAAUUUAUGACAUGAAAUUAUAAAAAAUCAUAUCAACUAAACCUCUUUCCGCCUAAAAUUAGUUGUUACAUUGGCUUUUGAAGAUUGUAAGAGGCAAAAAUUGGUACUAAAUUACAUUAAAUUCAAUUUUCUCAUAGUUGUUUUAUAUUUAUAUUUACUCUUUCGAGAAAAGUUUUCGUAGUGUCAUUUUCAAAGAUGUCGAUUUAGUCCCUCAAUAAAAGUAUAAUCUUUUUGGGAAGGUUUUAUCCCUCUUUACAGAGAGUAGUAUACAUUUCACGAAGGGAAGCGCUUCAAUCGUAUGUGGGACGUAUGACUAGGGGUGAGUAUUCGAUCGAGACAAGUCGAAUCGAGUCAAAAAUUUUCGAGUUAGUUGAUUUAACAAAUCCUAUUUUAGCAAUCGAACUCAAUUUGAAUUUUUUUCGAAUCAAAUCGAAUUGAGUCAAAAAAUUUCGAGUCAAAUUGAGUCGAGUUAACGAAUCCUAUUAUUGAUACUUAAUGUUGCGUUUAGAUGGACAGAUUAUUUAACUAGUAGACGAAGUACAAGAUUAUUUAACUGCAUAAACAAUAUAAUGAUUUUGCCUUUUAACUUAAUGGGUAAACAUUUAUCAAAACGACGUAGCUUUGCCUUUUAACUUAAUUAUUUUGAAUUUUAACUUUUAAAAAAGUAAACAUUUAUCAAAACGACGUAGUUUUGUCUUUUCUUAUUCGAAUUUUCAGAUAACUCAAAUUGUGUAAUUCAUAUUUGAGUUAAACCGAAAAACUUAAUUUUUUAUUCGAGUUGAUUCGAAUAACUUGAUUAACUCAAAUAACUCGAACUAUUUAAUUCAAAAUUAGAAUUUUUUAUCGAGUUUUUCGAAUCGAAUCAGAUUUUGCUCACCCUUACGUACGACUACCCAUUAAGAGGUGAAUACGUCUCAUGUACAGUUGAGGCGUUCUCUUUUAUGAACCGUACACACAUAAUUCUUAAUUAUGGAAAAAAUAAUUUUAUUUAACAUUAAUAACUACACAAAAUUCCAUUUAAUUAUUAUACUACAUAUACUUAAUAAUCCCGCGUGUUGGCCUAGUGGUCAAGGUAAUCACUGCCCCAAAAGUGAUCUGGGUUUGAUUUUAUACAAUUAUUGUUAUGCUAAUAUUGUAAUAAAUGAUACAAUAAUAUUUUAAUUAAAGUAAACACACAUUUUCAAGAUAUUGCAUAUGUUAAUUAAUUAUUAUUUAUUUUCUAAAAUUAGACUAAUAACAAUAUUUUCAAACAACUAUUUAGAGUAGGUAUUGAAUAUAGAAAAUUUUGAAAUUACUACAUUUGAUUAAAAUCCUGUCUAAAAGACAACAAAAUGAAGCAAGGGAAAAAAUAAGGAAACUUUAAGUUUUUCUUUUUUAUUUUUCAACUACCCUAUUCUAUCACAAGACUAAAACUUUAGUUUGACAAAUUGUACGGCCUUAGGCGAUUUUUUUUUGUUCAAAUCUGUCUAAAUCAACCUUACUCUUGAAAAAGUGAGAAUUCUGCCAAAAAUUCUCUAAGGCAUCGAAAUAAAGCGAAAACAACUCGGAAAUACAAAUGGACUUGAGUCGAACAGAAAAGCCACAAGAAAAUAAUAGUACAACAAGCGUUUGAGUAAAUGCUCUAAAAAAUAUUCUUUAACUCAAUAAUAUUGUACAACGGAUGAAGUGAUUAUGAAUGAGGGGAAAAACCUCUAUUUAUAGUUAAGCUUCCCUAGAUCCAAUAAUACAAAUUGAAUUACAUCGACGAUUAAGAUUAGUGUUUAUCUAUAAGAUGAGAGUCCUAAAUUGUUUAAACUCUAUACAUUUUUAUCCUUUAGGAUUUACAAUAAUUACCUUGAUAACUCUAGUUUAAUUAGGGUGUUUCACUAGACCACUAAGAUUUCAAGUGAAUAGACUUCUUCAUGUGUUACACGAAUUGAACCAAUUCAAAUGAGUUCUAUUUAAUUAGUUGAUUUCCAUGGGAUAAUUUGCUUGCAUUUCGUCAUGGGCUUUGAUACAACGACUUGUGACAUCCCAUUACACAUGAAAAAAAAAAAAAGAAAAAAAAAGAAAAGAAAGAAUUGCCUUUUAUAUAUGGGAAACGUGGAGGGGUUAUUUGCAACAAUAACUCCUCAGUGUUCUUAAUUUAUUCUAUCAAUGGCUUUUGCCUUUUUAAUUUUCUCAUUUAGUCCCCACCAUUUAAAACAUUAUAUAAUUUUAGAAAUAUGUUAAUAAUAUUAACUAUUUUAGUCUCUAUAAAUUUUAUGUUACUUAAGAAAAGGAAUUUAUCUUAUUUAAUUUUAAUUUUUUGAACCAUUAAUUUUCAUUUUAACUUCUAAUAUCAUGCUUUUAUGAAUUUACAUAAAAUUUUAAAAUUUAUGACUCUUUUAAAAAAAUACUUCUACAUAGGAGAGAAUACAAACAUUCUCUUAUAAAAAUAAUUAUAUUAUUUAAAUAUUAAUAAAGUAUUUUUCGCAUUCAUCAUUUAAUUUUUUUAUUAAAAAGCGACAACGAUUGUCUGAAUUAUUUUGUAAAUAGAACUAUGACGAAUUUUGUCUCUCAUUAAAUCAUUUUCUUUAAUAUAUAUUUAUAUAUUUAUUAAUUUUAAUAGAAAUAUAUUUUAAUCAACAAAAAUUUUUAAUAUUUAUCCCGUAAUAUUUUAAUAUUAAAAAUAAAAAAAAGAGUAGAAUCAAAGUGAAUGAGUAUUUUUUUUUUGUGAAAUUUCAACCGUGUUUUGAUGAGUUUGGAUGUGUAAAAAUUAACUUCUAAAUUUUUGGUUUUUGUCUUGCUGCAAUUGGUGUUUUAUACGAUUUAUUUAUUUAUAAUUAUUAUUAAGAAAAUUUUAAAAAUAUUAAAAUGAUUUUUUAACAAUAGGUCAUGGAGCAAUUAGCUAUUAACCCUUUAUAUUAAGGUGCAUCGUUAUUUUUUUAACGGAAGUUAACAUUCGAGUGAUAAAAAAUGUAACAAUUUGAUAACGUUUGUAAUAGCCUAUUUUUGCCCGGCCCAUUCCAGUAUUUAAAAUAAUAAACCCCCAAAAUAAAAAUAAAACAAAGUCCAAGUCCAGUAUAAAAUUACAAAUAUAUAAUUUGGCCCAAUCGGAAUGGCCCAUUACUUGAAAAGAUUUAAGGUCCAUCUAUAAGCUUGACUCAUAUGAAAAUAUAAUCUUUAAGGAUAUGCAAUCUUAGAUAUGAUACAAUCUUAGAUAUGAUAUGCAAUCUUAGAUAUGAUAUGCAAUCUUGAAGAUAUGAUCUUGUAAUCUUGGAGAUUUAAUUUGUAGAUAUCCUUUAAUCUUAACCGUUGAUGUAAUUGAUCUGUAUCGUUGGAUUUGGGGAGGCUCAAUUAUAAAUAGAGGCCUUUCCCUUCAUUGUAACACACUGGAGUUUUGGGAAGCAAUAAGAAUUUUUGAAAGCAUUCACUCAAAUUUCUCUCCCUCUUGCGUUCUUACUCUCUGUGGUUUGUUCUUAUUUUAUUCUUCGUCUAUCUUAGUUUUUCAACCUUUUUUUAUUUUAAUUUCUUCAUUUUUCAAAUAUGUAUAUUUAUUCCUAUCUUUUAUACAUUUGAUUAUGUAUUUUAUAUAUUAUAAUUUUAACCUUUUUAUAUAGUUUAUUUUCAAAUAUAUAUUUUCUAUGCAUAUAUAUAUAUUAUAUUAUCAUUUCAUGUAUUUUGAGCUAUUGCAUUAUAUUUUUAUAAUUUGUAAAUGUUCUAUUUAUUCAUUUUUUUGUGUAUGUCAUUUAUCUUAUUUGUGCAUAGUUUCAUUUUUUUUAUAAGCCAUGUUUAAUUAUUUCUUUUAUAUGUUAUUUUAUGAUAUAUAUUGUUGUAUAAUUUUUGCAUGUAUUAUGUUUUUCUUUUAGUUUACUCAUGUUUUUAUUUGUUUAUUAUCUUAUAUUUACCCUAGUAUGAUUUUUUCAUUAAACGUAUGUUCAUGUUAUUUAGUUUUGUCAUAAUGAUAUUAUUUAUGUUUGUAUGGAAAUGUUAGAAUAUUUUGUACAUCUAUGCUUCAUGAUGCAUUAGUAUGUCAUCCUAAAACGUCAUUUAGAAAUAAUAUUCCAAGGUUUUUUUAAAAAAAAUUAAAAGGCAAUGCUUGAUGUUUGGAAACUUCGAGAAAGAUAGUGCCCUAACUUACUGGGUUGCGACUUUUCUCGUUGAAUUUGAAUAGUCAAGCACCCUUCUAAGUGAUUUUGAGUUUUCAAAACUUAAAUAAUUAUUUCAAGAUUUCAAAACAUAGUGUCCUAACUUACUGGAUAUGACGUUUUGUUGUUUCGAGAUAGAAAUUUUUGAAAGACGACCUUAGUUUCGAAGGUUUUAAAAUGUUGCAUUCUAACUUACUGGAUGUGAUGUUUUGACUCGUUUGAAAUAAGUGAGCCUUAAUUUUCAAAAUUGAGAUAUUCUAAUUAAAAGAGGUUUGCAUCUUAAAACUUUCAAAUUUCGGACAUUAAAGACACUUGAUAAUCAAUUAGGUACCAAUUUUUAGGCGUUACGAGGGUGCUAACCCUUCCUCGUACGUAAUCGACACCCGAAUCCGUUUUCUCGACUUUCGUAGACCAAAAUUAAUGUUUUAAAACAAAACAUUUUAUAAGGUGAUCCAAUCACACCUAAAAAGAUUGGUGGCGACUCCCGUUUUCGUUUUUCUUAAAGUCGAUUCUCAUUUUCCAAAACUCGAUUUAAAAAUAGUUUCGACAAUGUUAAUGACUAUUAUAUAAUUUUUAAAAAUUGAGUGACUAAAAUAUACUUUUAAACAAAGUAUAGGGACAAUUGAUACAAUUUACUCUAUAUAAAAAUUUAUUUUAUUUAUUCUAGAAGUUUGUGGAGAUUUGGAUUUAUCUCAAUUUUUUUAUUUCAAGGUGGGAUAGUAUUUCACGUAAUUUAUUAGAAAAUCAAAUAUGUACCACAAAAUGUUUUAUCAAAUAAUAAUUGUAGAUAAAGACAAUUUUUUUAUGAUUUACUAAUUAACCCCCUUUGUUGGGUUUUUAUUUUAUUUUAUUUUAUCAUUCUUUUAAUUAAUUGAAAAUUGUUAAUAAAAGAUAAAAACACUAAAAACCGUAUUAAAUUUUUAUAUAAUUUUUAAAAAAAUAAUAUAUCAAAAAUAUUAGAAACAAUAGAAUAAAUAUUUCUCAACAAAUUAAAAAUAAAAUUUAAAAAAAUUAUGUAUACUUAAAACAAAACUAAAAUAAGUAUAACUUAAUAAGUAAAUAAAUCUAAAAUAGUAACAAAAUUAAUAAUAAAAUAAAAAUUAUAUAAUAAUAAUAAAAUAAUAACAAUAUAAUAAAAUACUAAUAAAAUAAUGAAAAAAAACUAAGAAAUUAACAAAAAAGAAGAAGAACUAGUAAAAGACAGCAUAUAUGAGCCACACUUAAGUUGAAAAAACCUUACCUAAUAUUUGACCGUUUUUUAAAACGAGCCUAUUUUUUACCCAAACCUAUUUUUAAAAAACUUUUUUGGGUUGUCAGGCCGACCGGUCUACUCUAGUCGAAUAUAUCUUAUUACAAAUAAAAAAGACCUUAAUAUAUGUUUAGCGUAAGUGGAGAUUGCAUUGCAAAUAGCUAGAACAUCCCGCAAAGAAGAAAACAAAAAAAGUUGCCUCCAUCCGUCCAUCUCAUCCUUUAACCGUCUAGGGAUCAAUAAUAGAGUUGAUGGCAACGAAUGGGUAUGAAUGUGAGUUGAAGAUGAUUGAGGAACUGACCACAAAUGCUGAGCAAAUUCAAGACGAGGUAUUGGGGGAAAUAUUAAGUCGAAAUGCAGGAACAGAGUAUUUAAGGGGAUUCCUCCAUGGUCAAACCGAGAAGCAGCUCUUUAAGAAAAAUGUUCCCAUAGUUACUUAUGAAGAUCUCAAGCCUUACAUAGAUAGGAUUGCUAAUGGGGAGACAUCAGAUAUCCUUUUAGCUGAACCCAUUACAGGGUUCUUUCUAAGGCAUGCAUGAAUUUGUUGCUUUGCUUCUGUGUGUUUUGGGAUAUUGUUUGCUUCCUUCUAAUAGUUCUAUCAUCUGUUUGAUCAAAUGCAGCUCUGGGACUUCAGGCGGGCAGCCAAAGCUGAUGCCUGUCACUGCUGAAGUUGGUAAUAAGUGGGAUUUAUUUCGUCGCUUGUACGAGUCUCCUGUGAUAAAGUAAGGAACCCAUCCCUAUUUUCUUCUAGUUUUUCUUUCAGCUGCUUGUGAAUAUAUGUAUAUAAGUUACCAUAUUAAGCAAAUACAUAUAAUAUGAAUAUAUGUAUCAUAUACCACGCAGAUAGUAACACCCGUAUUUUGUAAAUACUACUUAUACAUCUAUAGAUAUAAUAUACAUAGUUGCUUUUCUUGCUUUUUGCAUUUACAACGGCAACUCAGUGCUAAAACUAUUUGCCUUUAUCCGUCUAAUUUUAAAGGCACUUUGAUGACAUCAACCAAGCCGGUAAAAGAUUGGAGCUUAUGUUUGCCAGACCAGAGAUUGAAACUCCUAGUGGCCUCAAGGCAGCAUCUGUUUCAACGAGCAUAUACAGCGGGAGUAAUUUUAGAACCAGUUUGCCUAAGCUUUACACAAGUCCCGUUGAGACCAUCUUUUGCCCAGACCCCAACCAGGGCUUAUACUGUCAAUUACUUUUUGGUUUAAUCCAACGAGACGAGGUUGUCAAGGUUGGUUCAGUCUUUGCAUCUACGGUGUUAAGAGGUAUCAAGUUUCUAGAAAAUCACUGGCAAGAGCUAUGCUAUGACAUAAAAACAGGUCGAUUAAGUGAUUGGAUCACCGACUCAGGAUGCAGAAAUGCAGCAUCAUUGGUCAUGAAGCCUAAUCCAGAACAGGCUGAUUUGAUAGAAAAUAUAUGUAAUUGUAAAUCAUGGGAAGGAAUAAUCAGAAAGCUAUGGCCUAAAGCAAGGUAUAUUUGUUGCAUAUGUACUGGCAUUAUGAGACAGUAUACUAUAGAACUCGAGUUCUAUUGCAGAGGGCUCCCUUUAGUUUCAGAUCUAUAUGCUUGCUCGGAAGCUAUUUGUGGGAUUAACUUAGAACCUCUACGCAAACCUUGUGAUGUCUCCUACACAUUUCUCCCUAACAUGGCUUACUUCGAAUUCCUUCCAGUAAAGAAUGAACGUGAUGGAUCUAUUGAAAUGAAGAGCAACAAUGAAGAUACUGAACUUGUUGAUCUUGUAAAUGUGAAGGCUGGUCAGUGUUAUGAACUCAUUGUCACAACUUGUGCAGGUAAAAUUUCCUGUUUUGAAUAUAAUCAAUUAAUCAAAUGCCAUGUUCUAAUUUGCAUUAUGCUUCCUAGUUCCUACAUUAACCUGUUAGAUAAUGAUCUAAUCUAGUUUGAUGGUAUUCCUUUCAGGAUUAUAUCGAUAUAAAGUUGGAGAUGUUCUUAUGGUGAGUGGUUUCUACAAUAAUGCACCUCAAUUCCAAUUUGUGGAGAGGAAAAAUGUUAUCCUAAGUGUUGAUCAGGAAAAAACAAGCGAAACAGACCUUUUCAAGGCUGUGACAGAAGCAAAGGCUCUUCUCGAUCCACUGAGACUCAUCUUGACAGAGUACACUAGCUAUGUUGAUACUUCUUCAGCACCAGGUCACUAUGUCUUAUUUUGGGAGAUCAAGGGAAAAGAAGGCAAGCAUUGCAAAGAACUUGACCCAAAGAUAAUGGUAGAGUGUUGCUCUAGAAUGGAAGAGUCAUUGCAUUAUACAUAUAAAAUCUACAGGAAAAGGAACAUAAUUGCAGCUUUGGAGAUUAGGGUGGUAAAGCAAGGAAGUUUUGAGGCACUAAUGGAUUACUAUGUGUCCAAAGGAACUUCAUUGAGCCAAUACAAAAAACCUAGUUGCAUUAAAUCUGAGGAAGCCUUGAAGAUAUUAGAUUCAAGAGUGAUAGGAAAGUAUUUCAGCCCCAAAUCACCGUUAUAAUUAGUUUGCAUCAGUUCUUGUUUAAGAUUACCUAAUCCUUCCUAUGUAUAAAAACUCAGGAGAAUAAUCCUUUUCACUUUAUUGUGUAGGAAUACAUUAAUGUUUGGUAAAGUUAUUAAUGUCUUGUUUCGAACUCAAAGGCAAGCAAUUGUUACAGUUACACACGUAUUCUCAUGUAAUUUUCUUAUGAAUCGUUUGAUACAUUGUGGGAAAGUUGAUAUGGCAACAUCAAAGGGCUUUAUAUGCAUGGAAGAACAUAUUUGGGAUAUUUCUUAACGUAGUGCCUGAUGCUCUCUAUAAGGUAGGUAAAGUGGAAGAAGUUGUAGAAUUGAUUGAUGAGAUAAAGGGUAAUUUCCCCCUGAUAUUAUUUACUACACCACUUUAAUCAAUGGAUAUUUUCUUCAAGGUAUAGCUAAAGAUGCAUUGAAUUCAAGGUAUAGCUAAAGAUGCAUUGAACUUGUUCAAGUAGAUAAUGGAGAAUAGUCACAAGCCUUUGAUAUUGUUUCUUACGGUGUCUUUGUUAGGGGCUUAGCUAGAACUGCUCUUACAGAAGAGGUGAUCAAUCUUUGGGAUUAUGUAGAGACGCAAGGUUUGAAGUGUAACACUAUCAUGCACAACAUGGACAUUAAAGGUUGACAUUAAAGGUUUAUGUAAAAGUGGGAAGGUGAAGGAAGCUGAAGCCUUCUUACAUACGAUCAAUUUUGAGGAUUAAUUGUUACGAUCAAUUUUGAGGAUUAAUUGUUACACCUCAAACCUGACUCGAGAGUCCAGUCAAAUUCGAAGCGUUACAAUAAUUAUUGGAAUGAUGCACUCAAUCAAUCAUUCAAUUAAUGUGAUUAACCAAUUAAUUCAUUUUAAUAAAUUUGAUUAUCAAAUUUAAAAUAAAAGAACUCAAAUAAAUUAAUUUUUCAAUUCAAACAUACAAGGAUCGCUUGCCUUAAACUAAAUAUUUAACCAAUAUGAAAAUAACCCACAAAUCCAAUGGACCUAAAUACAUGCCAAAGUUAAACUAAGUGAAAACGUUAUCACAAACUAAGGAUUGCAAGGACUCUUUGGUAAUGCUAUUCGAUCUAAAACUUAAAAAUCAUCUAUAAUUGGUGUACGGAAUUAAAAAUCCAAACGCUAAGCAAUUUAUAGCUUAGUGGUGAUAUAAUACAUUUUAAACUACCUAUACUUAUAGUAAAAUAAAAACAUUCUAAUAAGAUAUACAUAUAUCUAUCUCUACUUGGAAUUAAAAACCAAAUAUAUCACAAGCAAUUAAACACCUAAAUUAACUUAGCUAACCGAUAUCCAAUAUCAACAACUAUUUGAGUGAGCGAUCAGCGGCUAUUUUGACGAUGGACCAGCAAUAUUUUGGAGGCAAGCAAUGGGGCAAUAAACAAGGCUUUCGGAUGAAGAUUUGAUGGCAAUUUGGAGGCACAUUUCAGGGGUUAGCCAAUUCUUACAUAAAUAAAAAUCCUAAUCUAAAAAUAAACUACAAUCCCAAUUUUUUAGGGUUAGCCAAAAAAAAAAAUCCCUAAUUUGAUUGUAUAAUAUAAUAUUUUGGGAAGUUUACCAGUCAAAUAUACAUAUAUUUGGUAAGGGAGAAACAAAGCAAGUUUUCCAGCAAAACAUAUGUAUAUUAAAAUAUUGUAUGUAAGCUAACAUUGGGUUGCCUAUUGUAGGGUUGGUGUUAUUUUGGUGGCAAUUUUUUAUUUUCAUUUUCUUCUCUUUUCAUUUUCCAUUUGAAAUAUAUGCUUCGACUGAUUAAAAAAUUGUUUCUAAAAAUCCUGUGUGUUGGCCUAAUUGCAAUAAUGUUCAUUUAAGUUCAAGUCGCGUUGCUAUUACGGCUUUAUCCUCCUCUUAUAAUCCAACCAAGAAAAUAAAGUUAUUUUCAAUCUUUUGAAUUUUGGUUAAGUUAAUACUAAAUUUUUAUAUUAUGCUGAUUACUAAAAUUAAUCUUUUUUAUUUGUUAUUGAAUUAUAUUCAUAAUUUUCAAACGAAACUUAAAUCUUAAUUAAUAAAUUAGAGAAUGAAUUAAAGUUUAUGAAUUAAUGUUGCAAUUUUUUAUUUUGUUUUAUAUAAAUUAAGAUAUAUUAAAAUAUUUUUUAAAAAAAUUUGAAGCGUUCCACUUAAAAUUUUAUAAAAAUAUUUAAUAACAUAAAUGUUUCAUUCGUUAGUUUGGAUAUAUUAUAUUAAAGUGGUUUAAAAUUUAAAUAUAAAAGUUAUAUGUUCAUAAAAGGAAAAAAGAAAAUCAAAAUUAAUAUAAAUAUAUUAUAUUCAUUUCGUUGAUUAAUAAAUUUGCUUGAUGUCAUUGAAGUAAAUACAAAAAAAAGAAAAGAAAAGAAAAGAAAAGAAAGUGAAAGUAUAUUAAAUAUGUAUUAAUUAAAUUUUUUUUCUUCGGCCUGACUCAAAUUUCAAUUAAAUAAUUUUAAAAUAUAUUUAUUUAAAUUUAAUUAUAAUAUUAUAAAAUUAUAUAUUUUAUUAUUGUAAAUUAUUUUUGACAAAAAAGGACCCGAAGGUCACUACCUUAAAUUAUAUUGCAUCCAAAAUAACAAUGUUAUGGAUAUUGUUAGGAUAAUUCAUUUCAAAAUUCAAGUUCCAACACUUAGAAAGAGACCAAUUACAAAGCGAAUCAGCUAAUUUGUUACAACCACGAUUUACGGAUUCGAGCAACUUGCGAGCUUCCUUGAUAUGAUGCCCAAUAAUCGUGAUGUCCUCCUUAUGGUAACAAAAGCGGUUGACAAUGCUUGCACAAUCCAUUUCAAAGAUGACUUUAUCAACGUUGAGAAUGUGAGCAAGCCGAAAGCCGUCGAUGAGAGCAUCCAACUCCGCCUGCUCAGGGCUAACCACUUUGUUGAAGAAAGACGCUUUAUUGCUCAAAACAAAGCCAUCGGAAUCUCUAGCGAUGAUGCCCAAGCUUGUGCCAUAAGAAUUCACGGCAACAUCAACAUUAACUUUUAUUACCCCUUUCGUCGGCUUUUCCCAUCUACAACAUCUAGGGACUCGGGAUAAGAUCAGUUGAGAAGAAAGAUUGUGAAUCUGGAAAUCAUUGUUGAGUUUACGGGCACGCUCCCGAAUCACAUUCGCAUCCUCCUCCUUACCUCUAAAGAUGGCACUGUUUCUACCAUUCCACAUAUUCCACAAUGUAGGAAUCAAAUCUUGGAAGACUUUUUUGUCUAAAAUCCGCAUGGAGCCUUCAAUCCAAUCGAUGCAAAAAUCACAAUAAAAAUAUUGAAAACAACCAAAGUGAAUAGAUAAUUACUAAUUAUGUUAUAAAAAAACAAAGAUUAAGUGAUAAUAGAUUAACUUUCAAACCACAAUUAAUACUACAAAUUAAUAACAUUAUCCAAGUGCAUAAUUAGUAGUAUAUCACAUGAUAUACUACAAUAUUUUUCAAGUGCAUAACUAGUAUUACACCACAUAAUUAGUACUACACCAUAUUAAAGCAUCAAUAUCUUCAAUUUAGAGAAAAUUUUUGAAGCCAAAUUUUUUUAUGCUUCGUACUUUUAGCUAAAAAAGCUUUGGCCUUAGAUUUACAACCCACAAGAUAAUCAAAUACACUACAAAGGAAGUCGUCAUUAAAUCUUUCUAACUCCAUCCACAACACUUCUUCAUAAGGAAUAUCUCAAACAAAGGAACACUAACUGAUGCAAUAGCAAGCUGCUUGACAUAAAAGAGAAUCAAUCAAACAAGGUCAUAAAACAAUCAUUGAAAUUACAAAUCAAUAAGUAUGAGCAAGAAGUAUAAGAAAACUUGAGCCAAUUCAAAAUGUAUAAACAAGAAAUGCUCGUAACAGCAACACAAAUACAUGUACAAACCAACAAACAAAUGAUCUAUAAUACAUAUGAAAAAAGGGAGUGAUUACCUAGGACACAAAAUUAAACACUAUCAUUCAAUUGAAUCAAAAUACAUCUACAAACCAACAAACAAACUUAAACUUAUACUAAAAUAAACGAUGAAAUUCUCUUUUAGAAAAUACAAAGGUAUUAGUUGUUUUGUUGUGAUCAUGAAUCUAUUUACAAUAUCAGAUAUGGUUUUGUUAUUUGUUUGUUAUUAUGUGAAGGAAUACCAUUUAGUAUAACACUACCUUAAAAAUAAAACGAAUAUAGAGUCCAAAACUAAGGAAGUUGAUGUUAAUAAAGAAAAAUGCUUGGUAAGCCAAUGACAAACUAUUGCAAACAAAAACAGUUACAACCUAUAACAUCAAAAUUAAGAAAAGAAAGAUAGAUAGAGACAUUGAAGCAGGAAGUGACAAACACAACAAGCAAAACCACUUAAGUUUCGGGUUUUAAGAGCACUAAAAUCUAACCUCCAACCUUAGUAGAUCUAAGAGAGAAAAAGAAACACCUGUAUUACAAAAGCUAUUUGGCUUCAGCUUGAAAAAACUUGAAUUCAUCUUGACCAUCGUCAAAUCAAGCUCGAGCUAGAGAAAGAGCUGAAUUUGAGUAUUUGAGUCAAGCAUUUUAAGAGCUUAAUCGAGCUUUUUCUUUUUAAUUACUAUUGUUUCUAUUUGAAUCCAAACUUGAGUAUAAAAACUGUGUAAUAUCAUGUUUUUCAGUGGUGUCGAAAACAGUGAUUUCAGGGUCACCAAAUCCGACGAGUAAGUUCGUAAAUAUUAUUAUUUAAUAUUUACGAGACAAGUGUGAUUUUUAACAAAGUUUUUGAUUUGAUAAUUUAUGUUAUAUAAGUGAUUUAUUAAGUUCAAGUGGUUUUAGAAAAUAAGGUAUUGGGGCCUUUUUUUUAUAAACUGAGCCGUAAAUAUUUUUAUAAAUAUUUACGGAGUGUCAUUUAGGUGGUAUUAAAGUUUCGUUAAGAAAUUUUAACGUUUCGAUUGUUAAUUAAUUAAAAAGGACGAAAUUAAAAAAAAGUGCAUUCCCGAGACUCCAUUUCUGUAAAUCGGACUUGUAAGUUAGUUGUGUAGUUAAUUAGGUUUCAGUUAAGUGAAUUUUCUUGAAUUAAAAGUAAUUAAGUAUAAGAACUAAAUUGCAUAUAGAGUAAAAAUUGAAUUAUAGAUUAAAGAAAAAUUAAAAAGACUAAAGAAGGAAUUAUGCCAUUGCCUUUAGUUAAGGCGGCAUAAGUUGUAAUAUAAUAUAUAUUGUAUAAAAUAUAUUUACUUAAUAUGUAAGUAUAUAUUUUAUAAUUAAUAAUAAAAUAAAUAAAGAAUAAAUAAAAAGAAAGAAAGAUAGAAACGAAACAGAAAGAAAAAGAAAGAAAGAAAAAAAAAGGAAAGAAAUGAAAGAGAAAGCCACGGCCUUAGGGGCUUUAAUUAUUCAAAGUUCAAUUAGUUAGUUAAUUUAGUCCAUUUUUCUUUUAAUUUUUAUGUUUUUGGAAUUCCGGUAUUAGAUACUACUCGAUUCAUGUCAAAAUUUUGGAAAUUAUUGAGUUUUUAAAUGUUGUUUAUGUUGAAUAAUUUGAGUCUUAGGGAUUAAAUUGAUAGAUUUUUAAGUUAGAAAUGAAAAAGGAUUGAAUUGUAGAAUAAAUUGAAAAGUUUGAGUAAUAAGGACUAAAUUGUGAAAAAUUCAAAAUUUAGGGAUUGAAGUGAAAUUAUGGAAUUAAAUAUAGUUUAGAGUGGAAAUUGAAUGAAAAUAUAGAAUUAAAUGUGAAAAAAUAAAGUUAGUCUCGGUUUAGGGGCUAAGUUGGAAUUUAGGCAAAUAUUGAGUAAAAAUUGAAAUUUUCAAUAUGAAAUUGAAUUGUGUUUUAUUGAUGAAUUUUGAUUGUUUUAAUUCCAUAACUAACAUCGUAUUAGAAUCCUCGACUAAAAAGGGGAAAGAUAAAGUCGACUUGAAAUAGCUCGGAAUUCCUAGUUUCUAUUUCUAUAGUCCGAAACUAGUUAUUAAUUGUUGUAAUAUUUAUUUAAUGUAUAUGCUAAGUGUUGAGGUGAGAAUUAUUAUGUUUUGCAAUUUAAAUGGAUUGAUUUAGUAUGUGAUGAAUUUAUUGAAUUUAUAUUGAUUGAAUUUGUAUAUAUAUAUAUUGAAUAUAUUGAUUAUUUGAAUUGAAAUGAAUAUUGGAUGUAUUUGAAAAGUGAAUUGGAACCCUAUUAACUGUAUCGGGCUGAGUCGGAUAUAGAUGGCAUGCCAUAAGAUUGGAAGAGUUCAGGAAUUUCUUUGACUUCGAGUCAAUGAGACACUGAGUGUCAAUUUACUACUUCGGAUUAAUUCGAUGAGGCAUUGGGUGCUAAUUUACUUCGGUUUAGCAGAUGAGACAUUGGGUGCCAAACUGGUGUGUUUUGGUUGGAUCCGUGUAUCCGUCUGAGUAUGGUAUGGGAAAUGGAAGUGAAAUAGUGAAUUAAAAAUAGAAUGUGAAAUAUGUUGCAAAUAUAUGGAAAAUAUCAGUUAUAUAUUCAUGAAAUGACUAUUGCAAAUAUAUGGAAAAUAUCAGUUAUAUAUUCAUGAAAUGACUAUGGAAUGGAUAUUGCAAUUGUAUAAUGAAAUGUGAAAUAAAUUGUGAAAAGCUAUUUAUAUAGCAAGUAUAAGAAUUGAGAUAUUUGUGAAACAAAUGAAAUAUGAUAUGGUUGUUGUAAUAAUUAAAUAUUAAUAUGUGUUUAUAUUUAAAUUGUAUAUUUGUAAUUUCUUAUCUUUAAAUAUUCGGAUUAUAGAAAUACCAUUGAGUUUAUACUCAACUUUCGAUUUAUUUUUCCAUGCGCAGGUUAGGUACUUAAGUUUGAUCGCGAUUUAGCAUUCAACAACGAUCCCAAACUCAAAUGUGGUGAUGUUUAUCCUUUGUGUCGGUAUGUACCUAGGGUGUUUAAAUAAUAGUUAUUUUUUGGUUUGAUUGUCAAUGAGGUUGUAAGUUUAAUUUUGGUUGGUUUUAUACAUAUAAAUAUGUGUUUGAUUGUUGAAGUUAUAUUAUGGCAUGGUAAAUUGAACUAAAUCUAGAUAGGUGCAUGUGAAUUUAAUUUUAUGUUUAAGUGCUCAUGAACUAGGCAAAUUGAUUUGGAUUUGGUAUGUUUAUAAUUUGGAUUAAAAUAAUGCUUUGAUGACUUGUUUUGAUGAUAUGAAAUUUAUGUCUGCUUGAUCUGUAAACUCCGGUAAUACUCUGUAACCCAAUUCUAGCGAGGGAUACGGGUUGGGGGUGUUACAAACUGAGUUUAUAUUUCACUUUAAUUGAGGUUCAUCUAGUUCGACUAUUAUUUCAAAUUGCUUCAGCUAUAAAAGCAAAAUUCAAUCAAACUCAAGUUGAGCUUGGAGCCUUGCAUUUCAGAUCGAGUUUCGAAUGGUUUGAGCUCGACUACACCUUGUAAAUUGACCUACCCUUUCGAUUCAGAUUACAUUACUCACUUGCAAAAUCAAAAAUAUACAUACAUAUUGAUACUAAAAGAGAGCAAAAAAGUUGAACCAGAUCAUUUUAACUUGAAAUAAGAUUAUGUCCAAGACAAUAACGUCCAUAACUUUUGCAGCAAUUAUUAGGAAAUUACUAACCAAAUUAUUGUCGCAUCACGAAUAUGAAUUGCCUAAAAGUUUACAAGCAAACUAAAAGCAUCCAAAUAAACAUUCAAAAAAAGCAUUUUUAACAUUCUGUUCCACUAUAAUUGUUAGUAUUUAACAAUAAUUCAUCAAAAUGAAAUACAAAAAGAGAAGAAAAAACAUGCAAUUGAUUCAUUAGAUCAAUUAUUAGAGAAGGGUAAAUAGAGAAAAUAUACCAUAAUGGGUCAAAAUUCAAGCUAAUCAAUGAUUUAUAUAAGAAAAAAAGGUUUUUUUUUACCCCAAGAAAAAGGGGGAAAACAAAAUUGAUUUCUAUUGGAAGAAAAAAGAAAGGGAAGAAAACAAAAUCAUGCCCACUAAUCCCAUUUGAACAAAUAACGUAUGAGCUUAAAGGCUUUAAAUUUUUAAUCAUUAGUUGUGUCUCAGCCACCACCACCACCAUUACCAUAUCUUAAUUAUUCCAUUACCACUAACAAAAAUCUAGCUUGCACAGUUCAAGGAAGAUGAAACUUAAAAAUAAUAAAAACCAUAAAAAAAACUAAAAAAAGAGGGAUUAACCAGUAACCAAUUAGGCUAAAACAAUAUGUUGCUACUAAAAAACAAUCACAUAUUUCUUCCUUUUUUUUAAUUGUUACCUUCGAGAGAGGAAGAUGAACACCAUCGUUGAUUGGUGCAGUGCAAAUUUUGACAAUGAAAGGCGAAAAGGAGGAAAAUUAAAGGUGAAUGCCGACGACUAGUGUUGAGAACCAUUGCUGGCCGGCGGCAAACACUAGAUCAAAGUGGGAAGGAAGGGGGAAAGGGAAAGAGGCUUUGGGUUACUUUACUGCUGAAGAAAAUUUUUUUGGAAAAUAUCUUACCAAAUGAAAACUGUAAGACAUUUUCCUAAAAUAAAACCUUCUUUUUUCGUAUUUUGGAGAAGGUUUUACGAUGGGAAUUCAUUUUCCAUCAAACAAAUAGUAAAAAAAGAUAAAAAUAUUUUUCGUAAAUUAUUUUACAGCUAAAUAAACACAGUCUUACACAAAAUAAGAUAUAAUUGAUGAGAUAAAAUUAUAAAAAUCAUAGAUAAACUAAACCUCUUUCUACCUAAAAUUAUUUGUUACAUUGGCUUUUGAAGUUUGGAAGAGGCAUAAAUUGGUACUAAAUUACAUUAAAUUCAACUUGCUUAUAAUUAUUUUAUAUCCAAGCUUAGUUUUAAUAUAUUUAAUAUAUUACUAAUUCAUGUUUUAAUCAUUUCAUUGAUGCCACAUUGUUUAUUAUGAGUGUCGACAUGUGUGGGUCUAGUCCCGUGAAUCUUAUUGUAUUUAGCGUAGGUAGAGAUUCCAUUGCCAAUAGCUAGAACAUCCCCAAAAAGAAAACAGAAAAAGCUGUCUGGAUCUCAGUAAUAGGGUUGAUGGCAACGAAUGGGUAUGAAGGUGGGUUGAAGACGAUUGAGGAACUGACCACAAAUGCUGAGCAAAUUCAAGACGAGGUAUUGAGGGAAAUACUAAGUCGAUAUGCAGGAACAGAGUAUUUAAUUCCUCCAUGGUCAAACCGAGAAGCAGCUCUUUAAGAAAAAUGUUCCCAUAGUUACGUAUGAAGAUCUUAAGCCUUACAUAGAUAGGAUUGCUAAUGGGGAGACAUCAGAUAUCCUUUUAGGUGAACCCGUUACAGGGUUCUAUCUAAGGCAUGCAUGAAUGUGUUGUGUUGCUUCUGUGUGUUUUGGGGUAUUGGUUGCUUCCUUCUAAUUGCUCUAUUAUCUUUUUUUUCAAAUGCAGUUCUGGGACUUCAGGUGGGCAGCCAAAGCUGAUGCCUGUUACUGCUGAAUUUGCUAAUAAGUGGGAAUUAUUUCGUGGCUUGUACGAGUCUUCUGUGAUAAAGUAAGGAACCCAUCCCUAUUUUCUUCUAGUUUUUCUUUCAGCUGCUUGUGAAUAUAUGUAUAUAAGUUACCAUAUUAAGCAAAUACAUAUAAUAUGAAUAUAUGUAUCAUAUACCACGCAGAUAGUAACACCCGUAUUUAGUAAAUACUACUUGUCCAUAUAUAGGUAUAAUAUAAAUAGUUGCUUUUCUUGCUUUUUGCAUUUACAACGGCGACUUAGUCCUAAAACUAACUAUUUGCCUUUAUCCGUCUAAUUUUAAAGGCACUUUGGUGACAUCAACCAAGUCGGUAAAAGACUGGAGCUUAUGUUUGCCAGACCAGAGAUUGAAACUGCUAGUGGCCUCAAGGCAGCAUCUGUUUCAACCAGCAUAUACAACGAGUGUAAUUUUAGAACUAUUUUGCCUAAGCUUUACACAAGCCCCAUUGAGACCAUCUUUUGCCCAGACCCCAACCAGGGCUUAUACUGUCAAUUACUUCUUGGUUUAAUCCAACGAGACGAGGUUAUCACGGUUGGUUCAAUCUUUGCAUCUACGGUGUUAAGAGGUAUCAAGUUUCUAGAAAAUCACUGGCAAGAGCUAUGCUAUGACAUAAAAACAGGUCGAUUAAGUGAUUGGAUCACCGACUCAGGAUGCAGAAAUGCAGCAUCAUUGGUCAUGAAGCCUAAUCCAGAACAGGCUGAUUUGAUAGAAAAUAUAUGUAAUUGUAAAUCAUGGGAAGGAAUAAUCAGAAAGCUAUGGCCUAAAGCAAGGUAUAUUUGUUGCAUAUGUACUGGCAUUAUGAGACAGUAUACUAUAGAACUCGAGUUCUAUUGCAGAGGGCUCCCUUUAGUUUCAGAUCUAUAUGCUUGCUCGGAAGCUAUUUGUGGGAUUAACUUAGAACCUCUAUGUAAACCUUGUGAUGUCUCCUAUACAUUUCUCCCUAACAUGGCUUACUUUGAAUUCCUUCCUGUGGAAAAUGAUCACGAUGAAUCUAUUGAAAUGAAGAGGAACGAUGAAGAUACUGAACUUGUUGAUCUUGUAAAUGUGAA